CCAGCUCCAGUAGCGUAUAUUAAAGUUGUUGCAGUUAAAAAGCUCGUAGUUGGAUUUCUGGUUUGAUAUGCCUGGCCCGCCACGGUUACGUGUGUGAGUGCCGGUGCGUGUCUGCCAUCCUUCUGGAAAACGCGUCUACCCUUCACUGGGCCGGGCGCGCGAUCCAGAUCAUUUACUUUGAAAAAAUUAGAGUGUUUAAAGCAGGCUUUUUGCUAUGAAUACAUUAGCAUGGAAUAAUAAUUUAGGACUUUGGCCCUAUUUUGUUGGUUUCUAGGACUGAAGUAAUGAUUGAUAGGGAUAGUUGGGGGUGCUCGAAUUCAGCGGCCAGAGGUGAAAUUCUUGGAUUCGCUGAAGACGAACUCAUGCGAAAGCAUUCACCAAGGAUGUCUUCU
rnacentral:rRNA from 2 species